GCAACACCCAUCGUCUUAACUUGGAAGGCUUUACCCACGUCCCCACAGAAAAGUCAUUUACCCACGGUUUGCAUUUAUCUUCCCACUCCAUGUAAAACCUAGGACCGCCGCCACAGUAUGCCUUGAUCCGAUCGCGAUGCCACCUUUGAUCCCGAUCGCCGCGUUCCUCUCUAGCAAACGUACCCCGGCGACAUCUCAGGAGUCAGGACCAAUUCUUUGUCCUUAUCGAGACCUAAUCCAGGAGAGAGGAUUAUGAGGAUCCAUCCGGCCGCUCGAUUCAAUCAACGCUGAAUCUGGACUCGAUGAACUGCUCCUUCCCGCAUGACUCAAUCAACUGCUCCUUUCCCUUGCCUUAUUAUUCAUCUCUACAAGUAGGCACAUCUUCCGCCUCUUCAUCUGUCCCUUUGCAGGAUACCUUUUGAGAAGAUUUUUCAAGCAGCAUAGUAUAGAGAGGAAAAAAGCCUUGCAGAAGCAGUGAACAGGAUAGCAGAUGAUUUCAAGAUUUAAUACUCCCAGUAGUUAGGAGAUUACAUAAAGGAGUUGUAUGAAUUAUUCAGUUGUGUAUGUAAAUCUUUGUAAGGAUGUACACUUCCUUUGUAAAAUAAUACAAUUUGCAUCAA